rnacentral:lncRNA from 1 species
CGGGCAAGGGACAGCGACCUCCUGGGCCAGGACAGGUGAGCGCGGCGCAGGCCCGGGACCCGCGUGGCGGCGGUGCGCGUGAGCGGCCAGCAGAGGGCGCCAGAGAGCCAGGAGCUGCCCGGGGAGGAGCCCGCGCCGGCCCCAAUGUCCAGCUCCGCGCCGCGCAGACCCACCAAGCCCGCGCUCAGACGGCCCAGCUCAGCCGAGAGGCUGCUCGCGCCGGGUCCUUCCUCUUCCCCAAGUGCAGGCAGAGCCCCUGGAGCCAUGGCCAGCCCUUCCGGCAGCUCCGAAGCCACUGGCAAGUCCCGAGGCAGAGAUGGCCCGCCCAGGAGGGAGGGGGACGACGUCCCUCCCUAGGAGAAGAGGCUGCGGCUGUUGCUGGAGGGGGAAGCGCACAGCCCGAGGACUGCGAGGACGGGGAGGACGCGCCGCGGCCGGGCAGGGAGGAGACCGGCACCCAGACAGGUGGCGACGGCAGAGGAAUAACCUGCACUCUUCUCUGCAAUGAAUCCCAAAAGUAUGUAGUUGAGCUGACUGCAAGGUGCUUGACACGCAAGAGAUUCCACAAAUGGGAUUUGGCCUCUGGAAAGUGGUGGUAGUUCCAGAUUUAUGUGGAUGUUACUUUGUAUUUCCCUAUAAAAUAUAUUCUUUAAACUAUCAAG